AAUGAACGCUGGCGGCAGGCCUAACACAUGCAAGUCGAACGGAUCCUUCGGGAUUAGUGGCGGACGGGUGAGUAACGCGUGGGAACAUACCCAAAGGUACGGAAUAGCCUCGGGAAACUGGGAGUAAUACCGUAUGUGCUCGAAAGAGGAAAGAUUUAUCGCCUUUGGAUUGGCCCGCGUUGGAUUAGGUAGUUGGUGGGGUAAUGGCCUACCAAGCCGACGAUCCAUAGCUGGUUUGAGAGGAUGAUCAGCCACACUGGGACUGAGACACGGGCCAGACUGCUACGGGAGGCAGCAGGGGUGAAUCUUAGACAAUGGGGGAAACCCUGAUCUAGCCAUGCCGCGUGAUCGAUGAAGGCCUUAGGGUUGUAAAUAUCUUUCAGGUGGGAAGAUAAUGACUGUACCACCAGAAGAAGCCCCGGCUAACUCCGUGCCAGCCGCCGCAGUAA
rnacentral:rRNA from 1 species